rnacentral:rRNA from 1 species
AUUGAACGCUGGCGGCAUGCCUUACACAUGCAAGUCGAACGGUAACAGGGAGCUUGCUCCGCUGACGAGUGGCGAACGGGUGAGUAAUGUAUCGGAACGUACCAUUCAGUGGGGGAUAACGUAGCGAAAGUUACGCUAAUACCGCAUAUUCUGUGAGCAGGAAAGCAGGGGAUCGCAAGACCUUGCGCUGAUUGAGCGGCCGAUAUCAGAUUAGCUAGUUGGUGAGGUAAAGGCUCACCAAGGCGACGAUCUGUAGCGGGUCUGAGAGGAUGAUCCGCCACACUGGAACUGAGACACGGUCCAGACUCCUACGGGAGGCAGCAGUGGGGAAUUUUGGACAAUGGGGGCAACCCUGAUCCAGCCAUGCCGCGUGAGUGAAGAAGGCCUUCGGUUGUAAGACUCUUCGGUCCGGGAAAAAUACGCAUGGUUAAUACCGUACGUGUAGAUGACGGUACC